rnacentral:rRNA from 1 species
AGUGAACGCUGGCGGUAGGCCUAACACAUGCAAGUCGAACGGCAGCACAGUAAGAGCUUGCUCUUACGGGUGGCGAGUGGCGGACGGGUGAGGAAUACAUCGGAAUCUACUUUUUCGUGGGGGAUAACGUAGGGAAACUUACGCUAAUACCGCAUACGACCUACGGGUGAAAGCAGGGGAUCUUCGGACCUUGCGCGAUUGAAUGAGCCGAUGUCGGAUUAGCUAGUUGGCGGGGUAAAGGCCCACCAAGGCGACGAUCCGUAGCUGGUCUGAGAGGAUGAUCGGCCACACUGGAGCGGGGACACGGUCCAGACUCCUACGGGAGGCAGCAGUGGGGAAUAGUGGACAAUGGGCGCAAGCCUGAUCCAGCCAUACCGCGUGGGUGAAGAAGGCCUUCGGGUUGUAAAGCCCUUUUGUUGGGAAAGAAAAGCAGCAGGUUAAUACCCCGCUGUUCUGACGGUACCCAAAGAAUAAGCACCGGCUAACUUCGUG